rnacentral:misc_RNA from 1 species
AAGUCGUAGGUGAACCUGCGGAAGGAUCAUUAACACGUAUCCAACGUUAAACAACCCUGUGAACUUUCAACCGCUCUUGUAGCCCACGCGGAACAGCAAUCCCGGUAAAUCAAUUGGAGGGACCUCUGUCCAUCAGGCUACAAUCGAGCUAGGAGCAGUGGCAUGGUUUCCCUAAGCAGUGCAGAAGGAUCCACUGAGUAAGGAUAACGCCUCACGGUUGCCAGAGGUCGAUCACCGGCCGGCAGACAUGUCACAGGGCUAUAUGCCCCCUCAUUCACACCUUGCCCUAUCUGGCCCCACGGAAACGUUGGGGCACAAACCGAACAACUGUUAACAAUGGAUAUCUUGGUUCUC